rnacentral:rRNA from 1 species
AUUGAACGCUGGCGGCAGGCCUAACACAUGCAAGUCGAGCGGAUGAAGGGAGCUUGCUCCUGGAUUCAGCGUCGGACGGGUGAGUAAUGCCUAGGAAUCUGCCUGGUAGUGGGGGAUAACGUCCGGAAACGGGCGCUAAUACCGCAUACGUCCUGAGGGAGAAAGUGGGGGAUCUUCUGACCUCACGCUAUCAGAUGAGCCUAGGUCGGAUUAGCUAGUUGGUGGGGUAAAGGCCUACCAAGGCGACGAUCCGUAACUGGUCUGAGAGGAUGAUCAGUCACACUGGACCUGGGACACGGUCCAGACUCCUAGGGGAGGCAGCAGUGGGGAAUAUUGGACAAUGGGCGAAAUCCUGAUCCAGAAAGGCCGCGUGGGUGAAGAAGUUCUUCGGAUUGUAAAGCACUUUGAGUUGGGAGGAAGAGUAGUAAGUUAAUAACUUGCUGUUUUGACGUUACCAAAAGAGUAAGCACCGGCUAACUUCGUG